CACGUAGGCGGAUUGGAAAGUCAGGGGUGAAAUCCCAGGGCUCAACCUUGGAACUGCCUUUGAAACUCCCAGUCUUGAGGUCGAGAGAGGUGAGUGGAAUUCCGAGUGUAGAGGUGAAAUUCGUAGAUAUUCGGAGGAACACCAGUGGCGAAGGCGGCUCACUGGCUCGAUACUGACGCUGAGGUGCGAAAGCGUGGGGAGCAAACA
rnacentral:rRNA from 1 species